rnacentral:rRNA from 1 species
AAUGAACGUUGGCGGCGUGGAUUAGGCAUGCAAGUCGAGCGGAAAGGCCCGCAAGGGCACUCGAGCGGCGUAGGGGACAGUAAUGUGUAGGUACGUACCCCUGGGUCUUGGAUAGCUGCGGGAAACUGCAAUUAAUACUAGAUGAUGUCUUCGGACCAAAGGUGUGAUUCCACCCAUGGAGCGGCCUACCUCCUAUUAGCUAGGUGGUGGGGUGACGGCUCACGAAGGCGAAGAUGGGUAGCAGGUGUGAGAGCACGACCUGCGUCACUGGGACUGAGACACCGCCCAGACACCGACGGGUGGCUGCAGUCGAGAAUCGGCAGCAAUGGGCGAAAGCCUGACCGAGCGACGCCGCGUGCGGGAUGAAGGCCUGCGGGUUGUAAACCGCUGUCGGAGGGGAUGAAAUGCCGAUGGGUACGCCCAACGGCUUGACUGAUCCUCGGAGGAAGGGUGGGCUAAGUUCGUG